ensembl:lncRNA
UUCCAGUGUUUUUAAUGUUGAAGGGCAAGGCCAUUCAUUUCAUUGUAAUUAUACAAAACACACAACAAACAAAAGCAAUUCCCCAGAUGAUAUUCUUUCCAAGCUCUAGGGUUGGGUUGAAAGGUGAUAGGUCAAGCUUAUUUGCCAUGUUUUCAUACUCAUGCUGGUGACAAUGACUCAUCAAAUGUUGAUUAUAUUAAUGAUGAUAUUUUUGGAGGGAGGGAUUGUUAUAAUAGGGAACCUAGUUUAGCUUUAACAUUAGCAUCACCUAUUAAUGUCUCUUAAACAAGUGCCAAAGUAUUACUACAACAAACACAAUUUCAGCUUUGAAAACACAAUAUAUAUUUUUAUUUUGUAACACACUGCAUUUCCAACUAUGUAUUUUCUUUAUAAUUUAUAUAUAAUCUAUAUAAUUUUCACAUAUAUAUGUGUCAUACAUCCUAUAUCCAUAUCAUAUCAAAUUAAUGAAACCUAAUUAGACUCAUCUAUCAAUCAAUGGGGAUGAUUUUCUGAUAUUAAAACUUAUCUAUGGAGGAUUGGAGGGGGUACUUGGACGAUUUCAAAAGAGGUAUAUUUGUUGUUUGAAAUUGGUUAUGAAAGAUUGCAACCAACUGAAAACUUAUGAAUUUUACAUUCCAUUUUGGACAAGUCUAUUCUGCUGGAUGCCCCUCAAUUCUACACACUGUACCUUUGAUAAAAUGUGUUGAAUCUGAAGGGCACACCUCACCUCACCUUCAAAUGUUUUGUGCUGUUGAAAGGAGUACUAAGAUGAAAAGAUAUCUGAGCGGAAAAUUUGGUUGGCUCCAAUUUUGCCUUGAUUCUUUCAUCUUUGUAUACAAACCGUUCCAGUAACGGUAAGUGUUAGAUGAACAACAACUGAACCACGCUUCAAAACCAUGAAUGUAGGAGCAAUGAAAGUAUUCUGGAAAUGAUCCGGCCCCUCUUCUCCACCGCUCUGCUCUAUCUUGCUGUGGUUGGGUCCUUUUGACUUGAAGCAAGCCCCCUGCGGGAAGGAGCCAGGAAU